rnacentral:rRNA from 1 species
CCUACGGGUGGCUGCAGUGGGGAAUCUUGGACAAUGGGGGAAACCCUGAUGCAGCGACGCCGCGUGAGUGAAGAAGUAUUUCGGUACGUAAAGCUCUAUCAGCAGGAAAGAAAAUGACGGUACCUGACUAAGAAGCCCCGGCUAACUACGUGCCAGCAGCCGCGGUAAUACGUAGGGGGCAAGCGUUAUCCGGAUUUACGGGGUGAAAAGGGAACGUAGACGGCAGUGCAAGUCUGGAGUGAAAUGCCGGGGCCCAACCCCGGAACUGCUCUGGAAACUGUGAGGCUGGAGUGCAGGAGAGGGAAGCGGAAGUCCAGGUGUAGCGGUGAAAUGCGUAGAUAUAAGGAGGAACACCGGCGGCGAAGGCGGCUUACUGGACUGUAACUGACGUUGAGGCUCGAAGGCGUGGGGAGCAAACAGGAUUAGAUACCCGGGUAGUC